AUGUGGUUAAGUUACUAAGGGCACACGGUGGAUGCCUUGGCGCUAGGAGCCGAAGAAGGACGCAGCGAACUGCGAUAAGCCUCGGGGAGCGGUAAGCACGCUUUGAUCCGGGGAUCUCCGAAUGGGGCAACCCACCAUCUGUAAUGGGAUGGUAUCCUUCACUGAAUACAUAGGUGAUGAGAAGGCAGACCCGGUGAACUGAAACAUCUAAGUAGCCGGAGGAAGAGAAAACAAUAGUGAUUCCGUCAGUAGUGGCGAGCGAACGCGGAAGAGCCUAAACCGUCGGGUUUACCCGGCGGGGUUGUGGGGCGUCUCACAUGGAGUUACAAAAGACGCGCGUAGGUGAACAGCUUGGGAAAGCUGACCAUAGAGCGUGAUAGUCGCGUACCCUAAACGCGCGUCUCUCCGAGACCAACCCCGAGUAGCGCGGGACACGUGAAAUCCCGUGUGAAUCUGGCAGGACCAUCUGCUAAGGCUAAAUACUACCUAGCGACCGAUAGUGAACCAGUACCGUGAGGGAAAGGUGAAAAGCACCCCGGGAGGGGAGUGAAAUAGUACCUGAAACCGUGUGCUUACAAAUAGUCGGAGCCCGUUAAAAGGGUGACGGCGUGCCUUUUGU
rnacentral:rRNA from 1 species